ensembl:snRNA U4 U4 spliceosomal RNA
AGUUUUGCGCAGUGGCAGUAUCGUAGCCAAUGGGGUUUAUCCGAGGCGCAAUUACUGCUAAUUAAAAUACUUCCCACAACUAACGCUCAAACUUGUACAUAUAAAUUAAAUAUGGAACAUUGCUUAUAAU